AUUGAACGCUGGCGGCAUGCCUUACACAUGCAAGUCGAACGGCAGCACGGGAGCAAUCCUGGUGGCGAGUGGCGAACGGGUGAGUAAUAUAUCGGAACGUGCCCAGUCGUGGGGGAUAACGCAGCGAAAGCUGUGCUAAUACCGCAUACGAUCUACGGAUGAAAGCGGGGGAUCGCAAGACCUCGCGCGAUUGGAGCGGCCGAUAUCAGAUUAGCUAGUUGGUGGGGUAAAGGCCCACCAAGGCGACGAUCUGUAGCUGGUCUGAGAGGACGACCAGCCACACUGGAACUGAGACACGGUCCAGACUCCUACGGGAGGCAGCAGUGGGGAAUUUUGGACAAUGGGCGCAAGCCUGAUCCAGCAAUGCCGCGUGCAGGAUGAAGGCCUUCGGGUUGUAAACUGCUUUUGUACGGAACGAAACGGCCCUUUCUAAUACAGGGGGCUAAUGACGGUACCGUAGGAAUAAGCACCGGCUAACUACGAGCCAGCCGCCGCGGUAA
rnacentral:rRNA from 1 species